UACGGAGGGAGCUAGCGUUGUUCGGAAUUACUGGGCGUAAAGCGCACGUAGGCGGCUUUGUAAGUUAGAGGUGAAAGCCCGGAGCUCAACUCCGGAACUGCCUUUAAGACUGCAUCGCUUGAAUCCAGGAGAGGUGAGUGGAAUUCCGAGUGUAGAGGUGAAAAUUCGUAGAUAUUCGGAAGAACACCAGUGGCGAAGGCGGCUCACUGGACUGGGUAUUGACGCUGAGGUGCGAAAAGCGUGGGGAGCAAACAGG
rnacentral:rRNA from 1 species